rnacentral:lncRNA from 1 species
GCCAGUUGCACGGUGGCCGCCCCCAAAUUCGAGGAGGAAGGUGCAAAGUGGUGGGAGGCUGCGGGUCUCCCGGAGGGUGAGGCGUUGGGGACCAGGCGGGAGCACAGCCGAACCCCUACCUUUCGGGCGGGGCGGACACCAGCCGCGCGCCCUCGCCGGGCGCCGGGACCGGAAAAUCACCGCGAAGGGAGGGACGAGGAAAGGCGGCGGGUGGCUUCAGGACAAGGUAGGAGGAUCGAUUUCCACAGCCAAGAAGACACUCCCAUCCCGCCCUGGUUUGUUUGGAAAGCUGCAGGAGCUAAAGUGAGGGGUGGCCGGGUACUCCCCUUCCCCGCCCGGCUGGCAGGCGGCAGAAGUAAACACUGAGGCUUGUGGCGCCGCGGACUGACUGUGACACAAGGCUCAGCAGAAGGACUUUGUGAUUACAUUGGGCCCAUCCAGAUCAUCCAGGAUCAUCUUCCCAUCUCAAGAUUCUUCACUUAAUCACAUCUGCAAAAUUCCUUUUGCUGUCUGUGAGAUAUCGGUGGGCGAGGAUGUGAUGCCUGAAGAUGUGGCAUCUACCUUGAAACAGUCAAGGACCUGAGGAUGAAGCCAGCAUCUGAGGAAGACAGACAGAAAGGAUCUGGAUACAUCAUGAGCCUGAAAAGUAUCUUGCAUACACAACUGGCAGCACAGAAUCCUGACAAACCUCUCAUCAGAAAUCAACCACAGACUCUUUAUGCUCUUACCAAAAUGCUGGCUUUGAGAACUAAUUAUGAAUGAAAAUUACUGAUGUGAUUUUCAGUCUAGGGAAGAAUAUCAAGUUAAACUUUAUGAAGUCCAAGACAAUGGGAAAAGAAGAGGUGUUCCUGUCCAGGCCCUCUUCCAGUUAGAAGGUGAUGGUUUCCAGAAGUCUGCACCUGUAUUUCAAUUACCUAUAAUGGAGUUUAUAGGACUAAACUAUAUUCACUAUA